GUGAGAUGUUGGGUUAAGUCCCGUAACGAGCGCAACCCUUGUCCUUAGUUACCAGCACGUUAUGGUGGGCACUCUAAGGAGACUGCCGGUGGACAAACCGGAGGAAGUGGGGAUGACGUCAGGUCAUCAUGGCCCUUACGGCCUGGGCUACACACGUGCUACAAUGGUCGGUACAAAGGGUUGCCAAGCCGCGAGGUGGAGCUAAUCCCAUAAAACCGAUCGUAGUCCGGAUCGCAGUCUGCAACUCGACUGCGUGAAGUCGGAAUCGCUAGUAAUCGUGAAUCAGAAUGUCACGGUGAAUACGUUCCCGGGCCUU
rnacentral:rRNA from 1 species